GAUGAAGAACGUAGCGAAAUGCGAUACGUAGUGUGAAUUGCAGAAAUCAGUGAAUCAUCGAAUCUUUGAACGCACAUUGCACCUCUCGGUAUUCCGGGAGGUAUGCCUGUUCGAGCGUCAUUUGUACCCUCAAGCUCUGCUUGGUGUUGGGUGUUUGUUCCGCCUCUGUGUGUGAACUCGCCUCAAAACAAUUGGCAGCCGGCGUACUUGUUUCGGAGCGCAGCACAUUUUGCGAUCCAGAUCAACGUACAGCGGCAUCCAAGAAGCCUUAUUUAACGCUCUUGACCUCGGAUCAGGUAGGGAUACCCGCUGAACUUAAGCAUAUCAAUAAGCGGAGGA
rnacentral:misc_RNA from 1 species